rnacentral:rRNA from 1 species
UAAAACGUAGGGGGCGAGCGUUAUCCGGAAUUACUGGGCGGAAAGGGCGUCUAGGCGGCAGAGUAAGUCUCAUGUGAAAGCUCCCGGCUCAACUGGGAGAGGGCGUGGGAAACUGCUUAGCUAGAGUGUCGGAGAGGGGUGUGGAAUUCCCGGUGGAGUGGUGGAAUGCGUUGAGAUCGGGAGGAACACCAGAAGCGAAGGCGGCGCCCUGGCCGACUACUGACGCUGAAGCGCGAAAGCGUGGGGAGCGAACGGGAUUAGAUACCCCGGUAGUCCACGCUGUAAACGAUGACAACUAGGUGUUGGGUGUCGAAGGACGUUCAGUGCCGCAGCUAACGCGAUAAGUUGUCCGCCUGGGGAGUACGGCCGCAAGGCUA